GAUAUUGCUUUGAAUGGGAAGAGUACAUCUGUAAUACCAUCAGAGAGAAAAAUCAUUGUUAAAAUGUUCGUGUAGUUUUACCGGAGAUUUAAACAAUUGCUGAGAGAUUUUUCAGGAGCUAAAGAUGGAAGGUCGCCCAGGAGCUGCAUAGUUGAAAGAAGAGUUGUGACAUAUGUAGGCACUUACGCUUUUGGUAAUGUCUAGCUUCAGUGCCCAGCCAGUAGACUAUGCCGGUUUAAUAACCGUUACAUGAAUGAAGUGUGUCUUCGACUAGUUUUUUUGACGAUGGCAAACAAAGGUGGUACCGCGAAUAUACUCUCUUCGUCCUUUGA
rnacentral:ncRNA from 1 species